CCCGCAGCACUGGCUGGAAGUCCGCCGCGUGUCAGUGAGGAGCUGCUGCAGAAGGAAGAAGAAGAAGCGGCGUGGGACCUGGGAGGCAGGAGCAAGCAAGAAGAGGAAGCGGAAGCGUGCAGAUGCGGGGGGGAAGGAGAGAGGCUCCCUGGGCAAAGCACCUGUCCCGUUAGCAGGGGCACAGUCACGUUUGAGUUGAGAGCUGCCGGCGCCUUUGGUGACCAGGCUGGCGUUGUGCUGGGCGACCUCCCCGUAAGCGGGGCUCGGGUCUUUGCUGUAGUUGGCCUUUUGCCUUGCUGCUCCUUUGGCUGCCUGGGG
rnacentral:lncRNA from 1 species